rnacentral:rRNA from 1 species
UACAGAGGGGGCAAGCGUUGUUCUGAAUUACUGGGCGUAAAGGGCGCGUAGGCGGCCUUCUAAGUCGAACGUGAAAUCCCCGGGCUCAACCCGGGAACUGCGUCCGAUACUGGAAGGCUUGAAUCCGGGAGAGGGAUGUGGAAUUCCAGGUGUAGCGGUGAAAUGCGUAGAUAUCUGGAGGAACACCGGUGGCGAAGGCGGAUCUCUGGGCCAUUACUGACGCUGAGGAGCGAAAGCGUGGGGAGCGAACAGG